CUGGUCUGCUGGCGCGUCCCUAACCGAAGGCGCAAUUCUAAAUUCUAAGUUCUUGGCGACGCGGGGGAAGAUAGUCGCGCCACCAGAGCUCAAAGGCGGCUGCGACGCAGCGUUCACAUAACCGAGUAAGCAGAUAGGCCCGGAAUGCCCUCCUCCAGGAAAGAGCAGGGGGUCUGAUUAUGACAGCCCCUCUCAAGAAAACUGGGCAAAGAGCAGCGAGAUUAACAGAGCAGAAUAAAUUUGCGUGGUGGGGGGCAGAAUCUGUGAUCGAAUCUCAAGGCUUGAGAUGCUGAGAUCUUGGCAAGAGUCAGACCCCUGAAGCGAUGUGAAGAUCGGGUUUCUCCACCUGGGGAAUUUCCACUUGGACCUUUGGCCUCGCUUGCCGCAGGGAAGCUGCUGAAGUUUUUGCGCAACCUGACUCUUCAUGCACGCACAUCACACAAAGGUUUUCCCCUCAAGUGUUUCUUUGCUUUGGGGAACAAAGUCCGCAGCUGUGCAGAAAUGAAAGUAAAACUGGCCCCAGCCUUGCACAACAAAAACUUUCAGAGUCGACAUUUCCUUCUCAACCUUUACAGCAGCCGGACUACAAGGACUCUUAAGAAUGACCUUGGUGUUAUUUUUUUCCUCAUAUUGAACACUGGACGAGCCAAAACAGUCUUCAGGGGAACGAACACUUUUUCUUUUUCUUUUAAAGCAUUAGGUACUGUACUCGGGAGCAGAUGCCGUGUGUUCCACAUGUUCAUUUUACAGAAAUGCGAUCCCCUCCAUCAUAAGCGCAACAAGGGAGUCAUGUUCUAGAAAGUAAUGUAAGCCCAUUGCGACUGAAAAGUCACAAAUGGGCUGUGCUUCUGUAUUAAACAGAGAGCUCCCCUGAUUCUCAGCAGAGUGGUA